UACGGGGGGGGCAAGCGUUUGUUCGGAAUUACUGGGCGUAAAGGGCUCGUAGGCGCCAACUAAGUCAGACGUGAAAUCCCCCAGGCUCAACCUGGGAACUGCGUCUGAUACUGGAUGGCUUGAAUUCGGGAGAGGGAUGCAGAAUUCCAGGUGUAGCGGUGAAAUGCGUAGAUAUCUGGAGGAAUACCGGUGGCGAAGGCGGCAUCCUGGACCGACAUUGACGCUGAUGAGCGAAAAGCUAGGGGGAGCAAACGGGG
rnacentral:rRNA from 1 species